rnacentral:rRNA from 1 species
UACGUAGGGUGCGAGCGUUGUCCGGAAUUACUGGGCGUAAAGAGCUUGUAGGCGGUUCGUCGCGUCGAUCGUGAAAACUUGCGGCUCAACUAUGAGCGUGCGGUCGAUACGGGCGGACUAGAGUGCUUCAGGGGAGACUGGAAUUCCUGGUGUAGCGGUGAAAUGCGCAGAUAUCAGGAGGAACACCGGUGGCGAAGGCGGGUCUCUGGGAAGUAACUGACGCUGAGAAGCGAAAGCAUGGGUAGCGAACAGG